GGGCUCACACAAGCGGUGGAGGAUGUGGCUUAAUUCGAGGCAACGCGAAGAACCUUAUCCUGGACUUGACAUGUUUGGAUGGCUCGCCUGAAAGGGAUGAGUCUGCCUUCGGGUGAAACUUACACAGGUGCUGCAUGGCUGUCGUCAGCUCGUGUCGUGAGACGUCGCGUUAAGUCGCUUAACGAGCGCAACCCUUGUCCUUAGUUGCCAGCACGUAAUGGUGGGGACUCUAAGGAGACUGCCGGUGUUAAACCGGAGGAAGGCGGGGACGACGUCAAGUCAUCAUGGCCUUUAUGUCCAGGGCUGCACACGUCCUACAAUGCAACAUACAGAGGGCAGCGAACCUGCAAAGGUAAGCAAAUCUCAAAAAGUGUCGCUUAGUUCGGAUUGCAGGCUGCAACUCGCCUGCAUGAAGCUGGAAUCGCUAGUAA
rnacentral:rRNA from 1 species